rnacentral:rRNA from 1 species
GUUGGACGCUGGCGGCAGGCCUAACACAUGCAAGUCGAGCGGAUGAAGGUAGCUUGCUAUCUGAUUCGGCGGCGGACGGGUGAGUAAUGCCUAGGAAUCUGCCUGGUAGUGGGGGACAACGUUUCGAAAGGAACGCUAAUACCGCAUACGUCCUACGGGAGAAAGUGGGGGAUCUUCGGACCUCACGCUAUCAGAUGAGCCUAGGUACGAUUAGCUAGUUGGUGAGGUAAAGGCUCACCAAGGCGACGAUCGUUAACUGGUCUGAGAGGAUGAUCAGUCACACUGGAAAUGAGACACGGUCCAGACUCCUACGGGAGGCAGCAGUGGGGAAUAUUGGACAAUGGGCGAAAGCCUGAUCCAGCCAUGCCGCGUGUGUGAAGAAGGUCUUCGGAUUGUAAAGCACUUUAAGUUGGGAGGAAGGGCAGUAAGUUAAUACCUUGCUGUUUUGACGUUACCAACAGAAUAAGCACCGACUAACUUCGUGCCAGCCGCCGCCGUAA